UCUCAUCUCCCUAAUAGAACAGGCGGAGGCUGUCGGAGGCGUCGAGGAGGCGUUCAUUUACGACUCGCAUAAGGGUCAAUAACGUCUCUAUUUAGAAAUCAAUCAUUCCUUGAGUUGUGCGAUUGAGGUUACAAUUGAUUGUGUUUUCUUCAGCUGGGUGAAAAUAUGUGACGUGUCAAAUGAAGCAACAUUGGGACAUUUUUCCGUUAAAACCUUGACCUUUGAGUGACCUGAUGCUGAGGGUCAGCCAGGGUCCCUUCACCGCCGCCACACGGGGCAUCCGGGGACAAGUCUCCACACCAAUGUGGUCCAGGCUACCUGUCGGAGAAACAGAAAUGUGUCCACCUCCCAGCAGCUUGGGGGGGGGGUGAGGCUGCGUGGUUAGUGCUCGCUGGGCAAGACGAGUAGGUGGACGCUCGAUAAACUGAGCUGAGGUCACCAUCAAUCUCUCACCCAAAGGGAGCGACGCUCAGGAGUCCUCCGGCUGAGGAUGAUGGAUGGUGGCGACUGAAGGAGAGGAUGCUGCUAUAAUAUUUGUGUGGGGCGCCGUGAAGCUCCGCGUUGGAGGCGAGUUUGAGUGUGUUCCCAAGCCAGCGGGGGCAGCUAUGACAUCUGUGAAUGCCGUUGGUGUAUCACAGAAUCUGAGUCCGGGUUAAACUCCCCUCUUCAUAUGACGUCGUGAUUCGGUCUCGACGCCGUUGGGCUUCGUUCAACAAGAACAUACAGAACCGAUGUGUAUUGAAACAGGGAAGAGGGGCUGGAUCGCCUGUCACUCAGAGAUAGGCCAUCUAUUACGAGCACGUGGGAGGCCAGCGAGGAAGCCAUCCGUCUGCAUUUGGGAGGGAGACGUCUUGAGGGGAGUCACAUGGCGAUUGAGAAAAAUGAGCCUUCGUUUUUGACGGCAAUGAGAGAGAGGGAGAGCUGACAGUUAUCCAAACAGCUUUCUGUGCAGAUCCGCGGCUCAGAGUCAGUCACGCAGCCAGUAAGGUGUACCGGGAGGACAGUGACCCCCCCCCAGAAAAGAGGCUGUCACUCACAGCCUCUACACUCAGACGCCACACUCACGUGAACUCUGAGUGCCGAGUGCUCUCUGCGUGCCGGCACGCGAUUCCAUCUUUCUCUUAUGACAAACGGCCGUGCGUUGAUGCUGGUGUCAGUGUGGCAGCAGCUGCUGGGGCCCGAAGGAACAAGCCGAAGGCAUUUAGUCCGUCCGGUGCUGAGAAAUCAAACAGCGGUACAAUACUGGCAUCCCGUAUUCAUCAAGGGCACCGCGUCAAAGAAAUCUGGAAGCGUGCGUUCGCCGCUUAAUCGCCCCUCACUGCAGCACCUUUCUAAUCAAAUACUCUGAUCUAUUGAAUACUGCUGAAGAAAAGUCUUCACAGCUGCCAUCGAACAUGAAUCCAGUCAGGUUUCCCUUCACUUAGAAAAACAGAUUGUUGUGUUUGAGAAACCAUUUUUUAUUCCAUAUUCCUGCUUUUGAAUAAUUCAACAGUCAUAUUUUCUCUACCAGUAGUAACACGUCAUUUGCUGUAUGUGCACACGUUCCUUUGACGAUCCUCAGUCACUUUAUUGACCGUGUGACUUUUCGCCAGCUGUGCUGCAUUUAAAAUGAUCUACUCAUAAAUUAAAGCUGUUUUGGAAAAAGUACAUCAUCUUUUGGCUGAUCGAUGGGAUGCGAUUGAGAAAGUUACUUUUUUUUAUUUUAAACAGGUCAGAGAAACCAAAUUAGCAAGCAAAAAGCAAUAAUAAUACAUAACAAUGAUAACACACAUUCCCACUUGUCACGUGCUAUUAUUCCUAAUAACUUGCAGGCAGAACUGACGCCCAUGUGGCUUGUUCAAUGCGCUGAAAGAUGCCAAACACUUUGAGGAUAAUCAAAGACAGUCGACACUUGUUUCCUUGUAUGUUGAAAGCAAAGAGACAAAAACAUCUGUCUUAUCCAACGUGGUCCUUUACCAACCCCUCCCCCCCCAAAAAAAACGUGGGCAGGUUUUCAAAAAGGAGACCUCUUCAAGUGCUCUUGUAUACCAGAGACGAGUUAACCCCACGAAAUGGGAGUGCAGCCCAUGAAAUGUACAAAGCUCCACCAAUCACAGCUUUAUUCUCACUUUUGAAUGCUGUUAAGAGGAUUCAAUGCAGAAAAUGCCCUUAAAGGUCAAGUCUAUAAUUACACUGCUUUUACCUAAGUGGGGAGCAUGUCGCAAAUCCAAUCAUCGCCUGGAUGUCGGAUACCCAAUCUCCGAGUGAAAAUGAGUUGCUUUGAGAUGGGCUCUUGCGUUAUUGCACUUGCAUUAUCCGCGGCGACGCACAGAAGCCCUUUGGCGGCAAGUGUCUCACUCUAAACAUAAUUUAUGUCUUUUUAUUCAGUGUCUAUCUGCAGAAUUUAAAUAAGGCUUGAAUAAUGAUGUACUGCAUGCAGUGUUGUAUUUAUUCCUCCUUUACACGUGUGUCACUUUACUCUAUAUAGAAUAAUUGAGGAAAACUCUUUUUUUAUCUCGCAGGUAACAUUUUAAACUGAAACCAGAUUUCUCUGCCGUAUUUUCUGUUUACUUCCUGCAGAAAACGUCCUCCUCCGUAUUGUCACCCCUGGGAAAAGGGGUCGGCUAAAUGCUCUUUGUGAUAUUAUGAAUAGGAUUCCUCCCCUGACAGAAAAUAAAUCUGAUGCCAAAUAUUUUUGUUGUUGCCAUUGAUUUUUGGUGGAACGCCGCUGUGGUCAGAUGAUUGGCUGGAACCCGCGAUUGGCAGCAGAAUGUUUUCUCAACAUUCAGUCCUUUGGGGAAAGCUUCUCUCAAUGAACAAGUCAAAAAGCUUCCAACCCCUCCAAACAAUAAUCAUCCCGUGGGAAACGCGCCAGCAUCCUGUGAAAAACAGUUGUUUGCGUGUGUGUCUUUAUGGCAAAGCCCCGCUCAAAAAUACAUUUUCCACCCUGCACAACAUUGGACGUUAGUUUUGGAUUACACACUCGCACAAUGGUGGCACGCAAAUGUCAAUGCACUAUACUUUAGAUGAAACUGCAAAACCCCAGCAUGCACUUUGGCAACCGUAGCGGAUGAAAUAACUACAUUGCACAUUGAUUCCGAAAGUUUAGCAGUCAAAAAAAUGAAAUGGGUCAUAAAAUGUCAGCAUACUGUUUCUUCUCUCUUUUCUUACCUGAGUGCACAUUCAUCUCUCUAAUAAAUCUGCUAAUGAUUAUAGCUGAUUAGAGGUGGUGUGGGUGCACCGAUCAUUGCAGAGGAAAUAAUGAGACUUUUAAAAUAUAUUUAUAUAUAUAUAUGUGCAUGUGUCUGUGGAAGAGGCUGUGCUUAUAAUAUAAUAUAUAUAUAUAUACUGUACUAAUAUAAGAAGGGGGCAUCGCUCCCUUUUGGUGACAAUUACAGACACACAACAUUCUCAUGAAAAUCUUCAGCAUGUGUGAGGUUAUGAACACCCAGGGACCCCUGUGGAGACCUCCUGAACUGUUGUAAAAUAAAGUCUCCUCCUGUUAAUUGCGUGUUGUUAAGAACCAACGCGAUAACGAAGGAUUACUGCUUACACUUGGGUGUUAGAAGCCAUUAAAAAUGUUAUGCAGACUGGUUGGAUGUUUGAUGCCAAAAACAAAACCUCAGUCUGUUCUCAUUUUUCGGUGAUGAUUAAUUUGUGGCCGUGCGGGUUUUGUGCCGCGUUUCAAUUAAUGUCAAAUAUGCAUUUGCAUAUACGUAUAUGUAUACAGUAUAUAUAUGCAAAUGCAUAUUUGACAUUAAUUGAAACGUUUUGGCAUUCGACCAUAUACUAAAGAAACAUGCUAAUGCUAAUUAUUCAGCUUGUACAAGUUUGUCAAAUAUAAAUAUAAAGUCCACACAUGAACCCACUAAUAAAUUUAUUAGUGCUCUUGCUGGAGUUAUUUUUCUAUGGCUUAAUGUCUCCUGAAGCUCGUGUGCCACGUUGAUGGCUUAAGGGAAGGAUAUGGAAAAAAUUCUAAUGACUCACUUCAUUUCCGGCCUAAAAGUGUCCCUUUCAAUUUGCAUGAUGGCUGCUUUGGUGAGGUGAGCCUGUUCAAAUUGGCUAAAGAACUAAAAGCCAGUUUGGUUGUGUUUCAUGGUCGGGGGGGGGGGACUCCCUGCUGAGCGGCAACGCUAACCUUUUUCAGCGAGCAAAUUGGUGGCGUCCCGGAGGCUCGUCCCUCGGGCUAGAACAAUGGGGAUUAUCCCGCCCAGCCGGAGUGGAUCCUUCCGCUGGCUGACGGAGGCAGUGCAGCUGCACCCACUCCAAGGAGGUGCGGGUAGAAGCAGGAAACUUAGCUGAGCACGUUGGCAAAAAAAAAAAAAAACAUCCACUGCCGGAGUACGACGGAGGCGCCGUACCGCGCGGCCUGCUGACCUGCUUCCUCCCGCCUCGCCGCCAGCCACGUUCACGCAGUUUAGCCGUGAGACUCGAACCUACUUUGCAUUCACGGUUGGUGCCGAGGUCUGUGUGGGACACCGCCAGCACGUCGACAUCCAGUGUCCAUCACUGGGUGUGCUUUCCAUUCCAGCCGCGGUGACAGGCCUUUGCAUUACACGCACAGACCGGCGGCAGGAGGAGAAAUUACCGCAUGAAGCGAUGCCUUUUCAUUUGCCUGCUGACAAGUAGCCGGCUAUGAGCGGGAGGUAUGGCUGGUGAUUUCCUGGCGAAAGGUUCCAGUGCCUUUGCACCAGAGCCAAUGUCAGGUCUCUCGCAUAAAGGCUGCGUGAGCCAGUGGGAGCCCUCUGUGUUACCCGAUAGGUGUCAGUAUUCAAACGCCACAUGCUGCGCGCACGGUGAUGACAGUGAGUCUGAUCCUGGUGAAUGACGCGUGCAGAAUGAAGGGUUAAAGGUCAAAGUAACUGCAGCCUCAUCUGAAAUCAAAAUGAUUGUCCUCGUGUGCAAAGAUGACGCUACGGUCAAACAGUCCAUUUGGCUUCCAGGAGGUCGCGUUGACAGUGAAAAUAAUCACUCCGGACGAUUUGAUUAAAAUGCCAAAGGCUUUCUGUUUGUAAGUCAGAAGCCACGACAACGGGCCCUUCGUCCUCAUUCACUGUUUAUACAUGACAAUUGUGUUUUUACAGCGUCUACUAUUACUCACUUUUUCCUCAGCUCGAUGACAGCAAAAUGGUAUAAAAUAAAGUGUGGAUAUUAACUGAUAUUAACUGUUCGCAGACGCGGCAUAUUUGUGUCUGUGUAUGUCAGCCCCAUUGUUACAAUUUGUGGUGCACAAUCGUAAAAUACUCAUUUGAUGUGUUUUUUAAGCAGUGAGGGAUUACAGUACAGACUCCUUAUUUAUUCAGCACAUACUUGUGUCCAGUUUAGGCAACGCAAAUUACUUGGUACCAUAAACCACCUUAUGCUACUUUUUGUUUGUCUUUUCUUAUCGCCGCCAUGCAGGGACACAACGAACAUGCUUAUGCUCAAGAGGUUGAUUUCUUUCUCUGCUGCAGGGCACGAGGCCGUUAAAAUACAAGUAACCCUUUCACCACAUGAAUAAACGUGCCAGUUCAUCUGCUUCAUAAAAAAUACAUUGGUGUAGCUUCAAACUGUACAUUCCUUUAGCACGUAUUCAUGGUGACCAAAGGUCUGACUGUUACGGUCAGUUUGCUCAGAAAGCUCAUUGAAGCACAAGUAUUGAAUUCACUUGGUAAUGAUGAGUUCUGCUCGAAAAAACAUUACACCCGCCUGACUGCACCAAUAUAGAUCUGCUUGGUAGUGAUUGUAGUAGUACUAUUUAAUGGAAUCCCCAAACUAACCCGACACAACAAAGAUGAGCAGUGAUAUUCAGUGGAGUGCGCGUGACGUCUUAGUGUGGAGGCUGAACGCCUGGAUGACACAUGUUUUAGGUCUGAAGGCCGCUCGCCCACACGAGGCGGAGUGUCUGCGCCGGGAGAGAACGGCCUCGUCAUUGUGAAUCAUGAAGAGAAGCAGAAACCUUCUCAGCCACCCACAAGUAAACAGCACACGCUGUGUCCACCAGACACUGCAACCACAACUAUGAUGAGCCAGAUGAGCAUUAGCUUGAGAUGAAGUGGGCGUCUCCUGCAACAUGUGUGUUCAGCUCGGCACGCGCGGUGUGAGGCGUGAAUCAUCGCGUCAUGGAACCUCCCACGUAAUGCCUUUGGUCCUGAUAUUGUCUGCGUGAAACCAUUGAGGUUGGAAGAUAAAAUGAAUAAUGUUGUUGCAUAGUGAGAGAAAACUCUAGUUAUGUCAGAGCAGGAAGUUAUCCGUGGAUGUAUGGAUUCGCCACUCAUUCUCUCACACUUAAAGGUGAAUAAAAUCAUGCCGUAUCGCCGGACCGCGGUCGGCCAAUCAAUGAAUUAAUAAGCAAACCCUUCAACAGAGGCUUCCAGUUGGGAUCACAGCCAGAAGCCAUGUUGGAGGUCUCAACCUCUCUUAAAGUAGCCUGCAAUUAAACUGAAUGAACACAGUCCACUGCAGUCAAUGUGUGUGCUGCUCUCACUGGAAAAGGGCCAUUUAAGUUGAAGUGUUAUUGGACUAUCGAGCUAAAGGACCUGCAUCUAAAGAAAGCGCCACGAGCUGGAUUGCAUCACGUGCGCCUACGUAACAUCUGUCCCUCUGCUCGGGUCCUGUUUCCUACUUACUCCAUAAACCAUUAUUUGUCCACAGCUUGAGGACGGUCGUGACUGUGCCAUCUGUGGUUGCUGGGGAGAUUUAGGACGCAGCUGCAGAGUCUGAGCUCCUGACUUGCAGGGCUGCCAGUGUGAUUUUGAUGCUGCCACCGUAGCUUCAACUCCAACUCCUUCUUCAGCACCAGACUGACUCUGCACACUCUCUCUUUCUUUUAAAAGUAGAGGAAAAAUAUAUUUCAGAACACCGAACUCCUUUGAAAAUGUAAUACUUGUGCUAUGCUACUAUUGGAAGACAUGUCUCAUAAAUAGAGAUAUGCAUUUUGAUGGAUUCAUACUGGUGCUAAUUCACCCAAAGUAAUCACUUCCACAUGUCAUUGCAUCCAACUGACCCAAAUCGAUGAAUCCACAAAAUCAAAAUAGCUGCUGUUUGAUUUUCUUUGGCUGAUUUUGAAUAAUCUGGCUGAUUGGUAUUGACUGUAUAGAUACGAUUGCCCCACACAAAUGAUUCCGUGUGUCCUCCUCCAUCCUGACACAAUUAACACAAGUGAUGGCACAACAUUCAGUACGGCGGGCAUUUCAAUUGCCCUUCGGUUAAGUUAUUGCACUAAUAAAAGUAUGAGCUCUUGUUUAACAGUGAAGAUGACAUCAGAACGCGGAUGUAGUCGAUCAAUCUGUGCAACGGGUCUUCACAAGUGAGUGAGUGUGUUUAUCCAGUCGACUUCCAUUAAAUACUGAUUGUGUUUGUACGGUACAUUGCACAUCUUGGUUUACGAUAAUAGUCUAUUGACAGGAACAUCGGGCGUUUUAUUCUUACGUUCUACCCUUUUGCUGGAAGGAGGCGUUAGCGCUUAUCUCUGUGGGAAGGUCCUUGAUGAAGGUCACGAGUUAUGUUUCCAAUAAUCACACGUUUGGGAGUCAAUUUCACGGCAUCAACAGCACCGUGACGGUAGAUUACGCCACCUUGUUUUGCAGCUGACCCUGACCUCUGACCUUAAUCAGGUGAAAGGUGAUUCAGAUCACACGUGGUUUGAUUAAGGCUCCACUGAAUGGCACGGGGGGACAAUGGGAAACCUCCUCCUCCCUCUGUCCCUCUUUCUCCCUGUCACUCACAUCCGUCAUCACCUCGCCACUCACCUCCCUCAGAGACGUUGGGGUUUGAUGGUUUGAUCAGCGCCAAAGGAAAUAGCAUCAUGGGAUUAUCUGAUUGAUCGCCAUCCGUCAGCACACGGGCAGGAAGCGGAGCAAAGGCUCCGGCUCCGCAACACAAAUUUAGCACUAAACACAGUUGGCAGUUUGCCGCAGUGUCAUCUGCAUGCGUCUUACGCCGCUUAGUUCGAUAUAAGCACGUCAAGUGAUCUUUGCAUUGCUGUCACGCUUGUCUUCUUCCUCUGUUCUCUGUAAUACAUCGCCACAUGACUAUCAUCCGAGCACUCGCGGGAGCACCGGUCAGGCGAUGGAUGGGGGAAUGGAGACGUAGUGUUCACGUCCUAAAUGAUGGGAACAGUGAAAUAACCGUUUCAUAAUUGCAACAUGAUUUAGUAUUCAGACAUUUUGAAGAACCCUUGUUGGGAUUGCAUCCAAAAUACCAACUUCCAAUAUAAAUUGGUCAUUGCAGGUAUGAAAUCAAUUUUGCAUGUGGGAUGAAAUGUUGGGAUAAUUAUGUGAAAGGCCCAAUAGUGAAGAUAUGUUAUAUUCAUUUUCGCUGCCAAUUAUUUAUCCAGUACUUCCAAGUAAGUAAGCAAUUAUAAAAGGGCAGACACUAAAUGUCAACUCCAAAACAAUGGAGAUUGGGUUGGAAUAAACCUUUGUUUUAUUCUCUGUGGAGCCGAAAAAUGUUUUUUUUAUAAUGAUUACAGAAUAUCUUGACCAGAGCAAACUUUCCUGGGGUGACCUAUGAGUUUUUCGCUGAUGCCGAUAUCCAGCAAGAAAUAUUGUGACUGAAUAUAUAUUUAAGUGUAAAAAUAGCAGUUGAGUGGCUCUUGCACUCAUGCAAUGCACGGUUGGAGUUGCACAUCAUACAUUUUAUGAACUGAAAAUGUAGCGUCAGGUCAAGCUGAACGAGGAAUAUUUCCACCACAAGCGUAAUGAUUUCUGAGAAGUCUGCGUGCUGAAUGACAAUGCGCCACGUUACCUCAUGUGAACGGACCACGUACCUGCCAGCAGUCGGCAAGACGUAACUACUCAAGAGAUGGGUGAGAACAACGGGGGAGUCCGCGGGCCAAAGGCUGACGUGCCGAGGAGACGUCUACUUGUGCCGUCGCUCGGUUGCAGCAGUGCAGCGUUUGCACGUUUUGUUCUUAAAUAAACUCCUCAAGGCCAAAUUGCCUUGUCUCGCUAGCCACCAGCUGGUGGAGGGGAAGGGGUAAGCCCCUGAGCUCACCCGAGGGGGCUUUUAAACGGGGUCUCAUUAUGAGAAAGUCCGCCCACCUUCAUGGCCCAUUGUCUUGCUGUGUUAAACAUUCUGUUUGUCACUGCUGCCAUAGCAGAUGAUUUGAUAACCUGUUUCAUACCUCUGCACUGUAUCUGCAGUAGUUAUUAUUAUUUUUAUUAUUUCUACAUGUCAUUUGGCUGACGCUUUUACCCAAAGCGACUUACAAUAAGUGCAUUUCAACCAUAAGGAUACACUAGUAGUACUAAAAGCUGCAGCUUGUACUGGUUAACCUCUAUUAUUUUAAUCUUCUAUUUUUGCCUUUUGCCAUUACUUCUGUCGUGCCUUUAUGUCUCGCAUAAAGCACAUCGAAUUGCCUGUGGUUGAAAGGUUCUACAAAAAUAAUUCCCCGCCGUGCCGUGAGCUGUCUGUGGAGGGAGAGAGCUUCACCUCCACCCCAAAGCCUCGGCGACAACUGAUUUGAUAUUUGUCAGCAAAAUGAGUCGGCGGGAAGUUGCCAUUCAUUUGCUUUAGGAGACACUCUGCAGCAGCCACAGCUCCUGCACGUGAGCCUGCGUCUCCUCCACUCGCUCGCUCUCCUUUUGUCUGUGCUUCUGGUGUGAGGCGCCAUGCUGACUUCACCUCAAAAGGUCUUUGGCAAGCUUGUGAACAGAACACUGUGCCCAAACCUUUGACCAAAGUCUCCCUAACUGUGGGCUUCUGCCAGCCACCAUGAAUAACACGGCAUAUAUUUGUGGCACUCCUGUACCUCAUCACAGUACCGUCCUGCACCGGGUCUCCCGACUUGGAGAUGCAACAGUGCCCCCACUCGGUGGACAGGGGGGCCGACAACGACACGCCACUUGUUCUUGUGGGCACGAGGUAGAAAUUUGGCAGGGGUUGAAUUCAGGAGCAGCGUGGCAGGAGACGCUCGAGGUGAUUUGUGGGUGUUUUAGACGGCUGGGAGGAGGUUGACAGUGUUGCAGGGUCUGCAGAACAUUCAGCGUUCUGGCUAACAAAGCAUGGAGACGGAAAGAGAGCCAUCCCGGAGGUGGGAGGUGACUGCUGACACUGUGGAAAUUGAUUUUAGCUCGAAAUACCUGUGGACCUGUGAGCGGUGAACACGUGAACAAGAACCCAUCGGUCUCGCCUUCUCCUUCGCAGUCCUUUGACCAUUUAAGGUCAAGUGACGUAAUGAGCCCCACUGUUGGCUUAUUAGAAAAAACAAACUUGAAUGUGGCCUUGAGCUUAUUCCUGAUAAAGUCAGCUUAGCUUAAACAUUCAAUUUAGCAAAAUAAUCUUUUGUUAAUUUAAUACUUUACUAUUUCUGCCUGCUUUGUUUGCUACAUCUUGGUAUAAAACCUGCAGAUGUUCACAUUAUAAUUCCAAUUUGCAUUGUAACCCUUAUAGGCCAUUAAAAGGCCACGCCAGACCUUCCUUUUGCUGAUGCUAUUGGGUUGCUGGACUUUAUUUAGGCUUCUCUGAGACUCAAGUUUUCCCAUUAACAUGCUGGUCAUCACAGUUUACAACCCCCACGCAACUUCAACACACAUGCACACUAUGGGCAAAAGUGCACCCAACGCUUAAUGAGCGAGCACGACGGCCGCUAUGCUGAAUGUGAAAUCCCCCGCCAGAAACUCAAUAAAAUCUAUUCCAUGGCAUUACAUCGCAAAGUACGAUUAAAACCACCAUCUAGCGUACUGUGGUUAUCCAAGGCGUAGCUAUAGCAACCCCGGGUCCCUGACUCGUGCAUGGAGGCAUUCAGCAGUUUCAGCGUGUUAGUUUCACCUACUGUGAUUGUGUGUUGAAUACGGAAUAAACAUAAACAGUUGUUUUGUAGUAUUGCGCAGUUGUUUUUAGGGCUGAACAAUUAAGUAAGAAGUGAACGCAUACACAAAACAAUGUGAAAACGUGACAAACGACAUCUUCUCCUCUGCGUGUGAGCAGAGACAAAAUAUCUUUGAGAUGCUUUGACGGUGCUUAUGGUAAUCUGUUUGUUUUUGCGGUGGUAAUUAUCAUAUUUAAAUGCGAUGAUCAUAAUGAACAAGGCUGGUUUCCUGUGUGUGUGCGUGUGUGUGUGUGUGUGUGUGUACGAGACUGUGUGUGUGUGUGUGUGAUAUCAAAGAGUAAGCCGCGGUGGUUUAGAUGUUAUUGUCACAUAUUAGAGUCCCACGCUCUAUGACACUCUGCGUGAACCCUGUGCUCAACACACACACACACACACACACACUCACGAGCUUCAAUGGCAGCGUUUUGAAGUGUGUUUUUUGUGUUCAUGGUAACUCGUGUUGUAAAUGACUAAAGGCUGCGGAGCGGCGACACACAUGAUGGAUUAACUGGGAGGAUUCCCACAGAUCAAAAGGGGAUUUACUGUCGUGACUCUCAAACGCGAUGACUUUAUCUUGAUAAUUACAUUUGCUCCCUCGUAACAGCGUUAUCGCAGCGUGGCAGAUUAGUGAUGGAGCGUGCGACUGGAAUAAUGUUGGUUCUGUGUAAAGGUUCCUGUGCAAACAACAGAUAGAAAAAGGUUCUGCCGCAGCAAACAAGCUGUCACCUUUGCACGAGCUGCGCGUGGAACACGAACAGGCAAAGAGCUCAUCGUUUUUAAUCUUACAUCGUGUGUCUCUUGCAAUGGGGGGUUUCUAUUGCUUGUUUGCGCCGUGCACAUUUCAUUAGCGCUUAUUAGACAGCGCUGCAGCGGCCUUCCACAGCUCAGGGUUUAUAAGGGAUCCACAAGAUUACAUCCACCGCCUGCCGUCGGGAAUCAGGCCCGCUGCCCAAAUAAUGAAAGCAAAGCAGCCGGUCAGCUGAUGGUCCUCGCUAGCAAGUUCUCACAACACUCACAACGCAAUACACUCGAUGCAAUACCAGGAGGAAACGUGCCGCUGCUGCAUCCAACGCUAGCUGCUAGUCGCUAGCCGCUAGUCGCUAGCUGCUGGGCUAAUGUACGCGGUGUUGCACCACAGGCUAAAGAAGAAAAGACCCACGAGAAGAACCUGACAGCGACCUGGAAGCAGGAGGUCACCACCUCAUCUUUUAAAUGUUGUGAACAGUGACACCAGGAGACAAACUGGACUAAAGUGGAACAAGGAGGAAGAGGAUGAGAGGAAGGCAAACAGGACCAGAACCCCAGCUGGUUUAGUCGAUAGUUAAACGUGUCUUCAGCUGGUGAAGCAAACCUCAUGAAACAACUUGGAAGAAAAACUUACUAAAACUAAAUGUAUUUAAAAGAUCCCAAUGUAGAUUAACAGCUCCUCCUGAAACACUUUUUCAUUUACAAGAUUUUGUUUUGCACCAGUGGUGGUUUUCCCAGAAUUCUUUACGAAGGAGGUGGUGCGUGCCGAGUGAGCGUUGAGCAGCACGGGCCGCACAUAACGAAGCUAAAGGUUGAGAUAAUAAUAAGAGUGCAUUUUGUUUUAGUUCAUAACGUCGGACACAUCUUUGCUCCUGCUUGACUGUCCCACGUACGUCCUGUAUAUUGAUAACAGUGAACACAUUUAAGUGGUUCUUCCUCUGCACAGGAUGAAGAGGCAGCAGCUGCUGACUUCUGGCCUAUCAGUUCCCUGAAGGUCACGUUUCACAUGUUGAAAAUGAAACCCGGCGUGUGCUCCACUUACGACCCGACCGCCUUUGUAAUUCACAUAAUAACCAUCCCCAUCAUCUAAAUCCUCUCUGCCCUUUAUGUCAUUCUGCCUCUCGCUGCGUUUCCUUCGUGCAUGUGAGGCCUCCCCCUUCUCCCCCCCCCCCCCGCCUCAUCCCUCCCCUUGUGGUCACAUCUCAUCCCUCUUUCUAUCCCUGACCCACCAAAAGCUUCUUUGUGUCGUCUUUUCUCUUUCUGUGGCUGGAGGCCUUCAGCUGAACGUCUGUGCGCCUCGCUGUGAUAUAGACACAGUUUCCAAUGAUAACCCAGAAAUAUAACCUGAGAAUUGAUUUAGGAUUAUCGAGGUCGUCUGUGCUGCACACCUGCAUCUUCCUCUUGGCCGUUUUUAAUGCCACUGUAUUCUCCCUCCUCAAGGUCAAGCUUAACAAACACAGUACGUCUUUGAUGGUACGUUCAUCAUAAACAGCAGUUAGAUUGAUUUUAUAUGACAAAUAUAUGCACGUUGUUCGCUUAAAUCCUGACUUUGAUGAAGUCAUCUUCAAUAGAGAUUCCAUUUUUGUAACGACGACAAACGACACUUCAGAAUAGGAACAAUGCAGUUCAAUAGAACCACAAACCUAUUUGUGUAUUUGAUGAUGAUGACGAUGGUGAUGAUGAUGAUAAUGGAGGCCACCUUCACAGAUCGUGUAAAACAUGGCGAACCCUCCCCCCACAGCUGGGUGAUAAACAACCCAAACAUAUUCCCCACUGGUGUGACUGGUGUCACUGGGAAACCGAUCUGCUGUCAGAGGUUCACCAGGUUCUUUGCUCCCGCUCAUGGAUGAAUGUCCAUCAAGUUGUUUCGUCUGCAGUGGCUCUUCUUCGUUGAAUGCGUAUUCUCAACAAGUCUGUGACAUCGUGUUGGAGGUCGUUUUGGACAUCUUCAGCAGAGUGCUUUGUGAGGACGACACACACACACACACACACAGACGAGUCCAGGCCGGGUUUCUGGACUUCAUUAGUUUUCCAAUUAGCUGCAGUCAUCUGUCAACCGUGGUACUUUGGACGAGCAUGACACCACGUCCGGGUCUCCGUCCCCACUCGUCUCGCUGGGAACAGAUGGACCUAAAGUUAAGACG
ensembl:lncRNA